CUGCGGUGAAUACGUUCCCGGGCCUUGUACACACCGCCCGUCACGUCACGAAAGUCGGUAACACCCGAAGCCGGUGGCCCAACCCCUUGUGGGAGGGAGCUGUCGAAGGUGGGACUGGCGAUUGGGACGAAGUCGUAACAAGGUAGCCGUACCGGAAGGUGCGGCUGGAUCACCUCCUUUCUAAGGAG
rnacentral:rRNA from 1 species